rnacentral:rRNA from 1 species
CUCAGAACAAUCAUUAUAUUCAUUUGAAAUGAAAAGUAAGUUCAUAAGUUCAUAUGCAUCAGAAGGAGUACAUAUACAUCAUCAUUAUUUUUGCAGGGAAUAUAUACAUCAUCAUCAAUAAGAAACAUGACUUGAUUAUAUGGGUGCAAAGGAAGCUGCCAACUGUUUCUCGUGUGUACGUACUAGCAAAUUAAUGGCAUGCACGCAGUAUAUUAUAGGGCGUGGAUCAAACAGGCACCAUCGGUAGCUAGGAGAUCCAUGGUGAUUGAUCAUGUGUUCUUCAAUCUGACAUCAUAUAUCCAUGGCGUGUGCAGACUUGGGAGAGAGCAGACCCGAGGGAGGGCUGCGACACUGCAGCUGCAGGUGAGAUUGGGCGAGUCGGAUCACUCGUCGCGCAUGCAUGAAACUUCACCAUGGCCGCUCCACCGCACAUGGACGGCUGCGGCGGCGGCAACGACGACGUAAUGUAUCCAAAGACACACACCCUGCAUGUACAAAACAGAUCGGAUGGCAUUGAUUCAUUGAAGUGCACCUAAAUACAAUCGGAU